rnacentral:rRNA from 1 species
UACAGAGGGGGCAAGCGUUGUUCGGAAUCACUGGGCGUAAAGGGCGCGUAGGCGGCCAUUCAAGUCGGAGGUGAAAGCCCAGGGCUCAACCCUGGAAUUGCCUUCGAUACUGUCUGGCUAGAGACCGGAAGAGGUAAGUGGAACUGCGAGUGUAGAGGUGAAAUUCGUAGAUAUUCGCAAGAACACCAGUGGCGAAGGCGGCUUACUGGUCCGGUUCUGACGCUGAGGCGCGAAAGCGUGGGGAGCAAACAGG